AGUCCUCAAAAUUAUGUCACUUUCGGUGACAACUCAAAGGGUAAGGUGGUUGGCCUUGGUAAGGUGGCCAUCUCACAUGAUAGCUCCAUACAAAAUGUCAUGCUUGUUGAAUCUCUUGGAUAUAACUUACUUUCAGUAUCUAGACUUGCUGACUUUGGUUUCAAUGUCUUAUUUACUGAAAUUGAUUGCCAAGUGUUUCAUCGAGACAAUCAUAAAAUGGUCUUUACCGGCAUACGUAGAGGUGAUCUAUACAUUGUUGAUUUCACUAAAAAGGCUCAACCUAAAUCUUGCUUCAUUGCUAAAUCCUCAAAAGGUUGGUUAUGGCAUAGACGACUAGGACAUGUUGGUAUGCGAAACCUUAACAAGCUUAUUAAAGGGAAUCAUAUCCUUGGAGUUAAUGAUGUCAUUUUUGAUAAGGAUAGACUUUGCAGUGCUUGUCAAGCAGGUAAACAGGUUGGAGGAAGG
rnacentral:rRNA from 1 species